UCGGUUCCGGUUCACGCCGCAGCCUCCCAUCGCGGGAAGGGCGACCCGGGACC
rfam:Mycobacterium vanbaalenii PYR-1, complete genome.